GAUGAACGCUGGCGGCGUGCCUAAUACAUGCAAGUCGAGCGAACAGACGAGGAGCUUGCUCCUCUGACGUUAGCGGCGGACGGGUGAGUAACACGUGGAUAACCUACCUAUAAGACUGGGAUAACUUCGGGAAACCGGAGCUAAUACCGGAUAAUAUAUUGAACCGCAUGGUUCGAUAGUGAAAGACGGCUUUGCUGUCGCUUAUAGAUGGAUCCGCGCCGCAUUAGCUAGUUGGUAAGGUAACGGCUUACCACGGCAACGAUGCGUAGCCGACCUGAGAGGGUGAUCGGCCACAUUGGAAGUGAGACACGGUCCAGACUACUACGGGAGGCAGCAGUAGGGAAUCUUCCGCAAUGGUCGAAAGCCUGACGGAGCAACGCCGAGUGAGUGAUGAAGGUCUUCGGAUCGUAAAACUCGGUUAUGAGGGAAGAACAAAUGUGUAAGUAACUGUGCACGUCGUGACGGUACCUAAUCAGAAAGCCACGGCUAACUACGUG
rnacentral:rRNA from 1 species